UUCCCAAACUUUCAAUCAGUACCUGGCGUUAACUCAGCAUCAGUCGAAACCAUCACGUGAGGUGAGGUGCGAUUUAAAUGUUUUCAUAAUGCCAAAAUUAACCUCCAUGAUAAUUUUCAAACCAUUUUACCCUUUUCUCUUAUUUUUCCCUUUUCCCCUUUCUCUCUCAAUCUAGGUUGAAGAAGGAUCAAGGGAAGUGGUGAGCGCAGCCCUUCAUUCCGAACACAGUGUUCAUACGUGGUAAGUGUAGCCUUUGGUUCCGACCUCCACGGUAAUUUUCUGAACUCCUGCUCUUGCUCGCGUAGGUGGUAAGCUUCGAUCAAUUCCAACUUCCAACUUGAAGGAACAUAGAGGAGAAGAGAGGAGACUGUUCACGCGCAGGUUGAAUGAACGUCCAAGAAGGUGGUCGUCCGUUAUGAGAGAGCGCAAGGUCCAAUUCUGAGAAUUGAUGAGGGCGAGGAGCUUGCCGACUUUUGGGAUGCUCUAGCUAGUGCUCCGCUUCUUAGUGAUGAUCUUGACAAAGUGGCCGACAAACUCGAUUUUUCUGCCAGUAAGGAUCAGGUUGCAACGGCAAUUCGUCUUGGGGUUGGUGGGAAGAAGGUGGAUGAAUAUGAUUUGGACUAUGAGAUUUUCCAGAAGGCGCUUUCGGGUGGUGUGGUUAUACA